rnacentral:rRNA from 1 species
CCCCUCGAAACGAGGUCUCCCUUGAGGGCCGUGGAAGACGACCACGUCGAUAGGCCGGAGGUGCAAGCGCGGCAACGCGCUGAGCUGACCGGUACUAAUCGCCCGAUAGACUUGAUCGC